rnacentral:rRNA from 1 species
UACGUAGGGGGCAAGCGUUGUCCGGAAUCAUUGGGCGUAAAGAGCGCGUAGGCGGUCCGGUAAGUCGGUUGUGAAAACUGGGGGCUCAACCCUCAGAGGCCGACCGAUACUGUCGGGCUAGAGUCCGGAAGAGGCGAGUGGAAUUCCUGGUGUAGCGGUGAAAUGCGCAGAUAUCAGGAGGAACACCGAUGGCGAAGGCAGGUCUCUGGGCAUUAACUGACGCUGAGGAGCGAAAGCAUGGGGAGCGAACAGG